rnacentral:rRNA from 1 species
AGCGAACGCUGGCGGCAGGCCUAACACAUGCAAGUCGAACGAAGUCUUCGGACUUAGUGGCGGACGGGUGAGUAACACGUGGGAACGUGCCUUUAUGUUCGGAAUAACUCAGGGAAACUUGUGCUAAUACCGAAUGUGCCCUUCGGGGGAAAGAUUUAUCGCCUUUAGAGCGGCCCGCGUCUGAUUAGCUAGUUGGUGAGGUAAAGGCUCACCAAGGCGACGAUCAGUAGCUGGUCUGAGAGGAUGAUCAGCCACAUUGGGACUGAGGCACGGCCCAAACUCCUACGGGAGGCAGCAGUGGGGAAUCUUGCGCAAUGGGCGAAAGCCUGACGCAGCCAUGCCGCGUGAAUGAUGAAGGUCUUAGGAUUGUAAAAUUCUUUCACCGGGGACGAUAAUGACGGUACCCGGAGAAGAAGCCCCGGCUAACUUCGUGCCAGCAGCCGCCGUAA